UACGGAGGGUGCGAGCGUUUGUCCGGAAUCACUGGGCGUAAAGGGCGCGUAGGUGGGCGCCGCAAGUCAACGGGUGAAAGCUCGACGCUUAACGUCGAGUCGGCCGUCGAGACUGCGGGGCUCGAGCACUGUAGAGGCUCAUGGAAUUUCCGGGGUGUAGCGGUGGAAUGCGUAGAGAUCCGGAAGAACACCGGUGGCGAAGGCGGUG
rnacentral:rRNA from 1 species